UACAGGGGGGGCAAGCGUUGUUCGGAAUUACUGGGCGUAAAGGGUCUGUAGGUGGCCAACUAAGUCAGACGUGAAAUCCCUCAGCUUAACUGGGGAACUGCGUCUGAUACUGGAUGGCUCGAGUGUGGGAGAGGAAUGCGGAAUUCCAGGUGUAGCGGUGAAAUGCGUAGAUACCUGGAGGAACACCGGUGGCGAAGGCGGCAUUCUGGACCAUAACUGACACUGAGAGACGAAAGCCAGGGGAGCAAACGGG
rnacentral:rRNA from 1 species